UACGAAGGGGCUAGCGUUGCUCGGAAUACGUGGCGUAAAGGGCGCGUAGGCGGAUCUUUAAGUCGGGGGUGAAAGCCCAGGGCUCAACCCUGGAAUUGCCUUCGAUACUGGAGAUCUUGAGACCGGAAGAGGUAAAGUGGAACUGCGAGUGUAGAGGUGAAAUUCGUAGAUAUUCGCAAGAACACCAGUGGCGAAGGCGGCUUACUGGGUCCGGUUCUGACGCUGAGGCGCGGAAAGCGUGGGGAGCAAACAGGG
rnacentral:rRNA from 1 species